GAUGAACGCUAGCGGCAGGCUUAAUACAUGCAAGUCGAGGGGCAGCAUGAUUGUAGCAAUACAAUUGAUGGCGACCGGCAAACGGGUGCGGAACACGUACACAACCUUCCAACAAGUGGGGGAUAGCCCAGAGAAAUUUGGAUUAAUACCCCGUAACAUAGCGAUGUGGCAUCACAUUGCUAUUAUAGAUUUUUCGCUUGUUGAUGGGUGUGCGGCUGAUUAGAUAGUUGGCGGGGUAACGGCCCACCAAGUCUACGAUCGGUAGCUGAUGUGGGAGCAUGAUCAACCACACGGGCACUAGGACACGGGCCCGACUCCUACGGGAGGCAGCAGUAAGCAAUAUUGGACAAUGGACGCAAGUCUGAUCCAGCCAUGCCGCGUGAAGGAUUAAGGUCCUCUGGAUUGUAAACUUCUUUUAUAAGGGACGAAAAAAGGCUUUUCUUAGUCGUUUGACGGUACCUUAUGAAUAAGCACCGGCUAACUCCGUGCCAGCAGCCGCCGUAAUAC
rnacentral:rRNA from 1 species